UACGUAGGGUGCAAGCGUUAAUCGGAAUUACUGGGCGUAAAGCGUGCGCAGGCGGUGAUGUAAGACAGAUGUGAAAUCCCCGGGCUUAACCUGGGAACUGCAGUCGAGACUGUCUAGCUAGAGUAUGGGAGAGGGAAGUGGAAUUUCAGGUGUAGCGGUGAAAUGCGUAGAUAUCUGAAGGAACAUCAGUGGCGAAAGCGACUUCCUGGACCAAUACUGACGCUCAUGUGCGAAAGCGUGGGGAGCAAACAGG
rnacentral:rRNA from 1 species